AAAUAAAAUCAAGUGUAUAACAAUUAUCACAUCUUUUCUAUGUUGUAGAGUCCCAAGACAGAGUGAGGCAAAAGACAGUCCCCCUGCUGGCUUACACAAGUGUUGGUACAUAAUAUGUUACCUAAGGCUGAUGCAUAAGGCAUUCAUCCCAUCAGUCAUGUCCAGUACAAGCACGUCCUUCACAGUGGCCUCAACACCCCAGCACAGGAAGCCCCCCCGCUACUUGACACGGCUGCCUUACAAAGAAACUUGGUGACCACCAAAACUGUCAAACUGGGAACCUGUUUUCCCCAUACUUAUGCAUGUUGAGGAGGGAGUCAGGUUUUUCGACCCUCCUUGACCCAAGAAAAAUUCAUAAAAAAAGAAAAACCGUCAAUAAAAUCAAGACAAUAAUUUUUUCCCUUUACACCUUGCUGGGAGUAACAGUGGUAGGGUUUGGAGUGGUGGUGCUGGGCUGCAGGCUGGAGCAAGCUGACCACUAGGCACUGGCCCUUAGGUUCCUACACUUGAAGGGGCCCUCCUAUAUAAAUAGAUUAAUAAUAAUAAAAAAAAUCAAUAGGUGAGUCCAGCAGAGAAUCACAGUGAAUUUAAACACCUUCACACUGUGUCUUACAUAACAUAUAUUUCAGUGUACCUAUAGUCCUGUAUGUCAUCCAGUUUGUUGAUUUGUUGAAGUGAAAUGCUCCUACGUCUGGAGACCAAGCAAUGCUCAACAAAGAAUGGAAGUACAGGUUACAACAUAAAGUUUGAGCAUCAGUUGUACGGUGCACUGCAGGACACAGAGACUCAAAACACAGGCUGGUGGGAAGGCUUUCACAGAACAUAAUGUGGACACUAAAACCCCGACACUGUUUGAUAACUGUAGCUGCAAGUCUCUGCCUCAGUCUUGGGUACUGCUGGGCCACCAAAAAAGUAAUUACCAAACAUUGUAAACACCAAGAUGAAAUGUUUAUAUUACAGUGAGUCUUUCCUACUCCUAGCUACUGGGGCACCAACUGCUAGUUACUGCAAAAUGUUCACUACUUUUAUUGUUUGACAUAUUAACAUUAUUUUUAAAAGUGUCUGCACACACACACACACACACACACACACACACACACACACACUUGGGAAUGUUGGUCCAGAAUAAUUUUCCCCCUGAAGAACACAUUGGAUAGACUUAAAAGCUGUUGACAAGCAAAAGAGUGUCAAGUCACUGAUGGAUGAAGAGAGGAAGAAGCAGAGUGCCCCUCACAUACAAAGAAACACAAAGGAGACCAAAACAAUACAAAGGGUAGCAAGUGAACUAGACUGGAAGGGUUGGGGCAGCAAUCCUUGAAAGAGAGAGGAGAGAGAGGGGACAUGACAGCAGGGUUCAGGGCAAUAGGGGAGUAAGCAGAACUGAUAGAGGACAUGUUUGUAAGGGACGUCAGAGCAAGCAGGGGACAUAAAGGUGAAUGUAUGAAAGAGGUCAGGAAACAGCUUUGCCAAUGGAUGCACAGAUCUAUGGAACAGCCUGGGGGACAAGGAGGUCAUCCAAUCCCGAGACUUAGAUGAGAUUAAAGCUAAAGUUUGACUGACUGAGACUCAGAAGUGGGACCCAUGACACACACACACACACACACACACACUC